AGAAGAUUUAAGUUGGUUUGAAGAAGUAAAAUUCCUCCUUGAGCUCAUGAGCAGAGCCAUGGAAACCUGAAGACUUCCCCCUGGGGCUCUGGGGGGCUUCUAACCAGAGAGGUGUCCUGGGGUCGCACCUGUUGGCGCAUGUGUGUGCUUGCAUGGACAGGUCCUGCCCCCCUUUCCUCACACACAUACACCUGAUCAUGCGCUCCAGUGGAACACAGCUUGUUUGGAUAUAAGAUGAAAACUCUGCAGAAGCUGUUAUUUUUAGAAGGCUGCUUAUCUCUCCAGAAUGCCAAUUUUGGCUUGUCAUUCAUCUCAGAGCAAGCAUGGUGCAUACCCAGGGCAAAGCACCCUGUUUUGUGUUUGAAGCAACCUGCAUCUUCAGUGAAGCUCAGGACGUGGCCGACACUGGCAAACUACCUGAACUGACAGCACCCACAUCCCGAUUCAGACCAACUCAAUGUGCAUUUAGAGAGUGCCUACUGCGUGCAGGAUCUUCGCUCCGAUCAUUGAGUUCUGUGAUUAAGUCAUACAUGACGUUCUGCAUCUGUUUGGAGAGACAGGGAGACGACAGGUCAUUGCAGAGGAAUCUGCAAUGGGAAAAAUGAAAUACUCCUCCAGAUUACACUUGAAAUACAACUCCUCCAGGGAUCAACUUCCACACCGGCCGUGUCGGGUCUGGCCAAGGACAGAGAAACAGUUUACUUUCUUGAAGACUUGGAGGCUCAAAUGGCACAGUGGGUUUUUGUGUGUGUGUGUUUUUGUCUGAUUACAAAAAUAAUGUAUAUUACUUAUAAAAAUAGAUUAGAAAAUAUAUAGACUGGAAAGGCAGCGCUUUCUUCCUCAAUAGAACAAGUCCCUGAAGUGUCCUCAUGUUCUUACUUCGUCCAACCUCUCAGCUCAUAGGGCAAUGGCACCUACUGAUGAAAGAGACGGCUCUGUGGUGGGGAGCGGACAAUGCAAUAGACUUAGCAUUGGUAGGCCAGGGUUCAAGUACACGUCUGCCACUCACUAAUAAUGUGCCUUCCCUCAUGCCCCUUAACCUCUCUGCUUGGUUGCCUUAUGAAAUAGGAGUUAAUAAUAACAACACAUAGUUAUAGAGCUGUUGCUCCCCCCCUGCCGCCCCAACUUUCAACACAGCAGGCAGAAUGUACAACGUACAACGUAACUCACUCAGGACUGGGCUGUAGUGAAAGGGAGCUGCCUCGCUGAGGUUACAGCCCCUCUCCUGCCUGGUCAAUGAGGAGGGACAUUGCCUCUAUUUGGGACACCCCUGAAGGGCCAGUCCACCUCCGGAACUCCCGUGGGUUGGUCGAGGCCUUUGUCAGUCAAUCGUAUCACAGUGCAGACUCUCCCUCUGCCCCAUCCUGCUUCCCUCGCUCCCCAGCAGGUGCUGUCCUGAUGGUGUCCCCAGUAAACCUCCUGCUCUCGGUGCCAUCUCCCAGUGUCCCAGGGACCCGCCCUGUCACCACUGCUCACUCCCCACACAUCCCAUGGCCGACAGCCUCACCUCCUCUCAGCCUCCCCUUAAAAAUCAUCUCCCCCCACUGCCCUUGUUAACAUGGCACUUUGGUCCCACCCCUACCCCUGAUCCCGCUAACCCUGCUCAACUCUUUUCUUUUCUUCAUGCCACCUUCUAAUAAACUAACUAAUUUGCUAUUUCUUCUGUUUAUUAUUGUCUGUUUUCUCCCCUCCAGGGCGGGGACUUUCGCCUGUUGUGUUCACGGAUGUGUCCCAAGGGCUUAAAACAGCAUCUGGCACCCAGGGGAUGCUCAACUAACAUUUUUUGAUGGACAAGUGUACAUAAACAUGCCUAGCAAGGGGGUCUGUCCCACGUGGUCGGCACUAAAAGACGUUGGUAGAACUAAUGAAUGAAUAAAGUGCUGGCACAGGGGAAAAUCACCGUCCCUUCCAUCCUUUGGCCAAUGUAGGAGUUUAACUGAUGGGAAAAGACCUUUUGCGCCACAAAUUAUUUCCAUAUACCUAGAGAGUUUCUCAGCAUUUCCCACCGAGACCUGAGUGGCUGAAGGAAAGGAGAGAAGACUCCCGAGGGGGCCCAGCCCAGGGCCUGCCUCUGGAGAGCAGGUGUUCCGUAAGCUUUUGUGAAUGAACAUUGAACAAGGUCGUGAGAGCAGGGGAGCAAAAAUGCGGUACCUCCAGGGAACUGCCAAUAAAAUAAAACUUUAAUGUAAUAAAAUAAA